rnacentral:rRNA from 1 species
AAAGACUUGACGGUACCUCAAAACAACCUAGAGGAGCCUGUCAAAUAACCGAUAAUCCACGAUUAACCCAACCCACACUAGCCCACCAGCCUAUAUACCACCGUCGCCAGCCUACCUUAUGAAAGAAACAAAGUAAGCCAAAUAGCCAUACACUAAAACGACAGGUCGAGGUGUAGCUCAUGAGUGGGUCCAAGAUGGGCUACACUUUCUACUACAGAAAACACGAAUAAACUAUGAAACAAGAAACUGAAGGAGGAUUUAGAAGUAUAUUAGGAAUAAAAUACCUA